AUUGAACGCUGGCGGCAUGCCUUACACAUGCAAGUCGAACGGCAGCGGACCUUCGGGUGCCGGCGAGUGGCGAACGGGUGAGUAAUGCAUCGGAACGUGCCAUUGAGUGGGGGAUAACGUAGCGAAAGUUGCGCUAAUACCGCAUAUUCUGUGCGCAGGAAAGCAGGGGACCGCAAGGCCUUGCGCUCUUUGAGCGGCCGAUGUCAGAUUAGCUAGUUGGUGAGGUAACGGCUUACCAAGGCGACGAUCUGUAGCGGGUCUGAGAGGAUGAUCCGCCACACUGGAACUGAGACACGGUCCAGACUCCUACGGGAGGCAGCAGUGGGGAAUUUUUGGACAAUGGGGGCGAACCCUGAUCCAGCCAUGCCGCGUGAGUGAAGAAGGCCUCGG
rnacentral:rRNA from 1 species